rnacentral:lncRNA from 1 species
AACAUUCAUGAGCAUCACUCAUGUUAACAUUCAUGAGCAUCACUCAUGACAACAUCCAUGAGCAUUACUCAUGUAAAUCAGCUUCAAAAGCUUCAUUUACAGAGCUCUAGCUUCAAAAGCGUCAUUUACAGAGCUCUAGCUUCAAAGCUUCACUUGCAAAGCUUCACCUACAAAGCUUCAGUGCAGGGUAUACAAAUAUCGCCUCCG